rnacentral:rRNA from 1 species
GACGAACGCUGGCGGCGUGCCUAAUACAUGCAAGUCGAACGCAGUGGGGACGGGUGAGUAACACGUGGGUAACCUCCCAUCAGAGGGGAUAACACUUGGAAAAAGGUGCUAAACCGAUACUGAUGGAUGGACCCGGGGUGCAUUAGCUAGUUGGUGGGGUAACGGCCCACCAAGGCCACGAUGCAUAGCCGACCUGAGAGGGUGACAGGCCAAACUGGAACUGAGACACGGCCCAGACUCCUAGGGGAGGCAGCAGUGGGGAAUCUUCGGCAAUGGACGAAAGCCUGACCGAGCAACGCCGCGUGAGUGAAGAAGGUUUUCGGAUCGUAAAACUCUGUUGUUAGGGAGGCGGUAUCGAACCAGAAAGCCACGGCUAACUACGUGCCAGCAGCCGCGGUAAUAC